GCUCAGAGCCUCAGAGAUGGGGAGAGAAGGGAGAAAGGCCUCUAGGGCUUUGCCAGAAAGAAUUUCACAGUGAAUUUACAAGUCAUGUUGCCUUGAAGAGUGUUAUAUGGAUUAGCAAAACAGCAGUGUCAGAGGAAUUGUGCUUUGUUGACAGGUGGAGCCCGUUCUGAAAAGGGAAUGUUUUCAUGAGGAGACCUCACGUCAGGAAAAAUGGUUACUCCUGUGAAACUCUGCUGCACUUUGGGGAAAAUUGGAGCUUUGUUGUACUGAGUUCCAUCCAGCACACUUAAUUUUAAAUAAAAUGUCUGUUGUACAUUUUUAUUCAACUUCUCUCCUUUUAAACACCAAAAAGGGAAUCCAGAGGAAAAAAAUACGCUAAACUAACAUCAGGAGUCUGAUUAAACUUGGAAGAUGCAGAGACAUGUUCCCUUCUUCUGUCUUGAGGUUGAUUGAGAGGAAAGUGGAAAACACUGUGUGCAUACAUGUACUGAAGUGCACAAGUGUCCACAAAACCACACCCAGCAAAAGCUUCUAUAGCUUUCUAUCUGUGGCAUCAUCUCUCCUAGAUGUGCCAACAUAGCAUGAAAUUAUCUUUCACAAAUAGAGCAACUGGUUACUGUGAGAAGUUUGGUGAAAGCAGGGUGAGACAAACAGCAGAGAAGAAAGGGAAGUUUCAGGAAGGUCAGGAAGAGCAUUCAAAGUAAGGAUAAAUCAAAGUGUACCUUCAGGGCUGGAAAAUAUUUUAUCUGUUCUAGAAAUCACUUUUGCUUCCUGCUGCUUGAUUUCUCACCAGGAACACAAAAUUCCACACUGUCAUUGAAGACUGGAGAGUCAGCAAGACCCUCUUUUUGUUAGCUUGUCCAGGCACCCACCCUUCUGCCCAUGGCUCCUGAGCACAGUAGGAUUGGACAUGCUCCUCUUCCCAUACAUACAUACCUACCUACUACUGGUGUAGCCAGUGUCUGGAGUAUCUACAUUCAAAUACAAAUAUUUUGGCUUUGUAUGUCUUACUUGCUAGUGCUUGCUAAAAAAUGUAUAUCUUUAAAGAACGUGGUCCAUCACUUGCUCCUAUUGAUCAUCUGUAGGCAAAUAAGGGUUUUUUUUUUGUAGACAUGUGAAAUUAAAAAUAAUAAGAUUCACAGCAUUGCAUUGUACCUGAUGCCAGAUAAUUUCAUUGUAGGAGUUAUAUGGUUAUAUUAGUAUUGAUGGUUAUAUUAGUACUGACAAUUCAGUGCUAUUAGAUCCACUUGCACAAAGAGCCAUUAGUACUAAGAAGUAAUAAUUAAAGUACUCAACACCUGAUUUUUUUUUAUUAGGAGAGGAGAAAGAAAAUGUAUAAUUACUGUAGAUGUUAAGAGGUUAAUACUUGUAGUAGGGCAGCUUUGCACAGUUUUCUGAAAAGAGAGGGAAAAUUUUCCCUGGAGGGAACAGGAAAACUGUCUAAUAAUUAAAUUAUUUAAAUUUUCUGAUGAUUGUGCAUAGUUAGUGAAGUUAAAUCAGUAAGAAUUUUCCUUCUAUUCACAUGAAAUAAAGCUCAUAAUAUAAUAAGUGUGUGACAUAUUGCUGGCUGAAAAAUGUCCAAGAGAUUUAGAACCAUCUUCCCACAUGUAGUUGGAUUUAUUAGCUUCU